AGCGAACGCUGGCGGCAGGCUUAACACAUGCAAGUCGAACGGAUCCUUCGGGAUUAGUGGCGGACGGGUGAGUAACACGUGGGAACGUGCCUUUUGGUUCGGAACAACACAGGGAAACUUGUGCUAAUACCGGAUGUGCCCUUCGGGGAAGGAUUAUCGCCAUUAGAGCGGCCCGCGUCUGAUUAGCUUGUUGGUGAGGUAAAGGCUCACCAAGGCUACGAUCAGUAGCUGGUCUGAGAGGAUGAUCAGCCACACUGGGACUGAGACACGG
rnacentral:rRNA from 1 species